CUUGAUCGAGCCGAGCAGCAGGGGCUGUGAGGCCGGGCGGCUGCGGCCGUAGGUGGCCAGCAGGGCCUGGGCUUC
rnacentral:antisense_RNA from 1 species